rnacentral:lncRNA from 1 species
GUCCGAGUACACAGUUAUCGUCCUUUGAUUUUCGUUGUCCACGAAUAUACUCCUUAGUGUGGACAGUGUGUUACUUGCCAAUUUUUGUAAUACCCCUUCCAAAUUUAUUUCUCCAUGUUUUAUGCCUCAUAUAGCAAGUUGGGGGUGAAAUGACACUGUAAAAAAAAUUGGGUCAUAAAUAUUAAUGUAAAGUAGUGAUUAGGUCCAGCUGAAAAGGGUCAAAAAUUAGCACUUCGGAAGCUGUCAAAAGAUUUCAAGACCCCCUUAACACAAAAUUGUCCAUAUUUUGAGUUAGAGCUGAUGAAGUUUUCUAUAAUUUUGAUAUAAUUUGUCCCAAAAGUAGUACAACACACUGUAAAAAUAUUAUUGAGAAAGCGCAGGUGGG